UACGGGGGGGGCAAGCGUUGUUCGGAAUUACUGGGCGUAAAGGGCUCGUAGGCGGCCAACUAAGUCGGAUGUGAAAUCCCCAGGCUUAACCUGGGAACUGCAUCCGAUACUGGAUGGCUUGAAUCCGGGAGAGGGAUGCGGAAUUCCAGGUGUAGCGGUGAAAUGCGUAGAUAUCGGAAGGAACACCGGUGGCGAAAGCGGCGCGCUGGACCUCUUCUGACGCUGAGGCGCGAAAGCCAGGGGAGCGAACGGG
rnacentral:rRNA from 1 species